GGGGACGUAGCUCAGUUGGGAGAGCGUCGCGUUCGCAAUGCGAAGGUCGUGGGUUCGAGUCCCAUCGUCUCCA
rnacentral:tRNA from 2 species